CGAAAACGAAUUCUCUCUUGAGUGGAUCCUGAGUACGACGGAGCACGUGAAAUUCCGUCGGAAUCUGGGAGGACCAUCUCCUAAGGCUAAAUACUCUCUAGUGACCGAUAGUGAACCAGUACCGUGAGGGAAAGGUGAAAAGUACCCCGGAAGGGGAGUGAAAGAGAACUUGAAACCGUGUGCUUACAAGUAGUCAGAGCCCGUUAAUGGGUGAUGGCGUGCCUUUUGUAGAAUGAACCGGCGAGUUACGAUCUGAUGCAAGGUUAAGCAGAAAAUGUGGAGCCGUAGCGAAAGCGAGUCUGAAUAGGGCGAAUGAGUAUUUGGUCGUAGACCCGAAACCAGGUGAUCUACCCUUGGUCAGGUUGAAGUUCAGGUAACACUGAAUGGAGGACCGAACCGACUUACGUUGAAAAGUGAGCGGAUGAACUGAGGGUAGCGGAGAAAUUCCAAUCGAACUUGGAGAUAGCUGGUUCUCUCCGAAAUAGCUUUAGGGCUAGCCUCAAGUGAUGAUUAUUGGAGGUAGAGCACUGUUUGGACGAGGGGCCCCUCUCGGGUUACCGAAUUCAGACAAACUCCGAAUGCCAAAUAAUUUAACUUGGGAGUCAGAAUGUGGGUGAUAAGGUCCAUAUUCGAAAGGGAAACAGCCCAGACCACCAGCUAAGGUCCCAAAAUAUAUGUUAAGUGGAAAAGGAUGUGGCGUUGCCCAGACAACUAGGAUGUUGGCUUAGAAGCAGCCAUCAUUUAAAGAGUGCGUAAUAGCUCACUAGUCGAGUGACACUGCGCCGAAAAUGUACCGGGGCUAAACAUAUUACCGAAGCUGUGGAUUGUCCUUUGGACAAUGGUAGGAGAGCGUUCUAAGGGCGUUGAAGCAUGAUCGCAAGGACAUGUGGAGCGCUUAGAAGUGAGAAUGCCGGUGUGAGUAGCGAAAGACGGGUGAGAAUCCCGUCCACCGAUUGACUAAGGUUUCCAGAGGAAGGCUCGUCCGCUCUGGGUUAGUCGGGUCCUAAGCUGAGGCCGACAGGCGUAGGCGAUGGAUAACAGGUUGAUAUUCCUGUACCACCAUUAUUCGUUUUAAGCGAUGGGGGGACGCAGUAGGAUAGGCGAAGCGUGCUGUUGGAGUGCACGUCCAAGCAGUGAGAUUGAGUGUUAGGCAAAUCCGGCACUCUUAAGAUUGAGCUGUGAUGGGGAGAGGAACUUGUUCCUCGAGUCGUUGAUUUCACACUGCCGAGAAAAGCCUCUAGCUAGAAUAACGGUGCCCGUACCGCAAACCGACACAGGUAGUCAAGAUGAGAAUUCUAAGGUGAGCGAGCGAACUCUCGUUAAGGAACUCGGCAAAAUGACCCCGUAACUUCGGGAGAAGGGGUGCUCUUU
rnacentral:rRNA from 1 species